GACGUAGGUGGCGAGCGUUAUUCGGAUUUAUUGGGCGUAAAGGGUUCGUAGGGGGCUAGUUAAGGCUGAGGUGAAAGCCCACGGCUCAACUGUGGAAUGGCCUUAGCGACUGACUGGCUAGAGGACCGGCGAGGAAAGUGGAAUUCCGGGUGUAGCGGUGGAAUGCGUAGAUAUCCGGAGGAACACCAACGGCGAAGGCAGCUUUCUGGACGGUUUCUGACCCUGAGGAACGAAAGCCGGGGGAGCAAACAGG
rnacentral:rRNA from 1 species